rnacentral:rRNA from 1 species
GUGAGGAAUAUUGGUCAAUGGCCGGAAGGCUGAACCAGCCAAGUCGCGUGAGGGAAUAAGGCCCUAUGGGUCGUAAACCUCUUUUGUCAGGGAGCAAUGAGGUCCACGUGUGGACUGACGAGAGUACCUGAAGAAAAAGCAUCGGCUAACUCCGUGCCAGCAGCCGCGGUAAUACGGAGGAUGCGAGCGUUAUCCGGAUUUAUUGGGUUUAAAGGGUGCGCAGGCGGCGUGCCAAGUCAGCGGUAAAAAUGCGGUGCUCAACGCCGUAUAGCCGUUGAAACUGACAUGCUAGAGUGAGCGAGAAGUAUGCGGAAUGCGUGGUGUAGCGGUGAAAUGCAUAGAUAUCACGCAGAACCCCGAUUGCGAAGGCAGCAUACCGGCGCUCAACUGACGCUCAGGCACGAAAGUGCGGGGAUCAAACAGGAUUAGAAACCCCAGUAGUCC